UUCCAAUUUUAUCAAUAAACCUUGAGGUUUCCUCGUAUCUUCCUGGUGAAUUCCAAAUUUGAUUGUUUCAAGGAAUUAAUGCUAUACGUGAUGAUGUUGAGGUGAGUCUACAUCCAUUGAUCAUGAUCGUUUUUCAGUUAGUAUGUAUUUAUUCCAGCUUGUGCUGUUAAUUGUUCCAAUUCUGAAUGUUGUAGGCUUUCAUCUUCCCAAAACAAUUGAGAAGGACCUGGCUUCCACCAUUACCUAAUGUCAAAACUCUUAACGUAAUCAUCAAUUCUGAAAAAGGUGCAAAACAUUGUGACUUGAGGCACUCUUUAUUUUGGUUGGCACCAUGUGCAUCUCUUACAUUACUUCUGAGUACAAGUACAGGAGGAAAGUUCUUUAAAGGUGCACUCUUGUAUCUUGGUAUACAAGAAAACUCAGCAUCCCAGUUUUUCUAAGUUUAAUAUCAUGUUGAGUUUAUUUUAGUGCUCUCGAAGACACAUUGCAAUGUUCUUGUUUCAAUGAUUUUCUCAUCUUUUCAAAUAAGGUGAAUACAUUACCUUCUCUUGAAUUAAUUCGUGAGAUUUGCGAUCCCCUCGGAGGUCCUCCAAAUCCACUAUAUUUAUUUACCUAUUUUUUAAAUAAAUAGAAUGUUAAUUAACAUUAGUUUUCCCACUUCAUGAUCUAAGGUUAUUGGCUAAUCCCUUCAAUGUAUGGCCAAGUUAGUUGCUUUUGUACUUCAGUGCACGAAACAGGAAGAACUUCUAAAGUUUGUUGAAAACAAAAUUAGCUAUUUAACCAAAGUAGGAGAAGCAUCAUAAUAUACCAUGAGCAUUUUUAAAGCAGAUUUUAUUUGAA
rnacentral:lncRNA from 1 species